rnacentral:rRNA from 1 species
AUUGAACGCUGGCGGCAUGCUUUACACAUGCAAGUCGAACGGUAACAGGCCUUCGGGUGCUGACGAGUGGCGAACGGGUGAGUAAUGCAUCGGAACGUGCCCAGAGGUGGGGGAUAACGCAGCGAAAGCUGUGCUAAUACCGCAUGUGAUCUGAGGAUGAAAGCGGGGGACCAGGCAGCAAUGUUUGGCCUCGCGCCUUUGGAGCGGCCGAUGUCAGAUUAGGUAGUUGGUGGGGUAAAGGCCUACCAAGCCGACGAUCUGUAGCUGGUCUGAGAGGACGACCAGCCACACUGGGACUGAGACACGGCCCAGACUCCUACGGGAGGCAGCAGUGGGGAAUUUUGGACAAUGGGCGCAAGCCAGAUCCAGCAAUGCCGCGUGCGGGAAGAAGGCCUUCGGGUUGUAAACCGCUUUUGUACGGAACGAAAAGGCUCUGGCUAAUACCUGGGGCUGAUGACGGUACCGUAAGAAUAAGCACCGGCUAACUACGUG